CGGGAUUUGACAUAAGUUGUUUUUUUAUGUGAGCUAACAGUUUGCUGAAUAUAGGCAUUUAAUGUUGAAUUUAAUCAUAAUUUUAAUUGAACUAGGCAUGGUUUUACACAUUUGUACAAAAGUGUCUUCUAAAACAAAUAAAUAAAAGUACAGCAGUUCAUAUUCCUUCAAAUCACGUGACAAACCGAAGACGAUUAAUAUUUGUGGAAAUUCCAGAGCAUGAGAGACUUCCUCUUGUUAUCAAGAUGUAACAUGACUCCCUUGAGACUUUACACAGGUGAAUCAAGAAGAGCUUUGCUGUGACAACAAAUAGGAUCUCAAAUGGUAAAUAAUGGCAUUAUAAAGUCAUCUCUGCUGAAGCAUGGAGCAACUUCUCAGAAUGCCGUAAGACAAUGUUUAUAUGCAUUACUCACUUGAUUCUAACAUCAUAAUACUCUGCAUUUCAUUCCAUAGCCUAGGAGCACAAGAGGAAAAGGCAGUUUUGCCACACUCAGAAUAUGCUCUAUGCAAAUUUAGAAGAUCUGGUCCUAUAAUUACAAGUAUAAUAUGAUAAAAGUUUACAUACAGUAUUUAAGUUGGGAAUUUACCUAAUAGCGCAUUUACACCAGCAUAUGCAUUUUUAUCCUCUGAUACAGGGAGGACCAACCAACCAAUUCAUAUAAAGUACAAUGACGAGUACGUGUUGAGGCACUCGUCACAAAUCAUAUUGCAGAAUGAUAUAUACAAUCCAACUUUUUUUUUUUAGUGAAGAUAGGUUUAGUAAAUGACAUCACCAUAAUCUAGCACCAUUAGGAAACAACUUUAGAUCAUUCUCUUUUUAGCUUUAAUGGGAAAACAUUUCUUUAAAAGAAAGGGAAAACCCAAUUUAGGCCUGAACUUUCAAUAUGAAUAUUAAAACCUAAGAUUUCAUCAAGCCAUGCCCAGGCAUUUAUAGCAACUCUUUCUAUACAGUCCCCCUCUAAGGUUAAAAUAGUUGGAACAUUUGUUUUAUAUAUUUUAAACCAAUUUAAAAUGUAAAAAUGAAGAAUGCAAUAACCAAAAAAAAAAAAAAAAAAAAAAGUAUUUUAUAAUAGCUCUACAGCUUGAUUCAUGGACUGUGCGACUGUAUAGAUAAUUAUAUCAUCUGCAUAUAAAUGUAUUGUAGCUGUAGUUAUCCCAUGACCUAGGUCAUUUAUAUAAACUGAAAAUAGAAUUGGUGCUAAAAUAGAUCCCUGUGGGACACCUUUAUUCAUUUCUAAUUCUGUAGAAGUGAUACACACUGCAUUCUUUCUGAUAAGUAAUUAUUGAACCAAUUAAUUUUGCAUUAAUUUAACAUUGGCUGGGCUGGUAAGGGGUGGCAAGAAUUUUGAAAGGAUGCUUUUUUCUUACUUAACAGGUGAUAUAUUUUUUGAGCUGCAAAUAUCAGACUAUAUCAGACUUAUGAUCGCUAAUGUUCGUAUGUUCGCAAUGUAACGACUUGUAAACUUUUGUUACACCAUUUAUUUAAAAACAUCAGUGUUGGUAAGCCAAAACAACAGCAUCAGAUUCAGUAUAGAACCUGCUCAAUCAGCAUCCAGCAAACUAAAACCAUCCAUGGUGAGGACCUAACACAACCAAAACAAUAUUCUUCUGUAGGGACUCGUGCAUUUUUAUUAAUUGCUAGAGGGACAUAUAGCUUUAAAACACUGUUACUUAGUGUAGCUUAAAAAAUAUGAUUAUUUUACUAUUAAGCAAAAUGAAAUAUAUAACUUUUGAACUGAAUUAACAGAGUUUUGACAAUGGAGGAAUCAGGAAAACUGCUGUCUUCAAGACUGCUUUCCCUGCUGAAGAAUGGACAAUGGAAAAAAGAUGAUGUUGUCAAGUUGUUUAAAGCUCUUGUGGAGCAAUUUAAUGACAGUACUGAUGAUUUUCACACAUGGAUGAUGAAAAUCAUUCAUCAAGUAGAGAUUCAUAAAAUCCAAGUGUUGGAUUUGACUUUCCAAAAUGGUAGUAAGAUUGUGGAUGAUGUUGAGGCCAAAGUUAAUGAAAUAGCCAAAAACACUGAUGAGAAAACACUGGAUGAGAUUGUGGAAGAAAUUCGUAAACAAGGAAAUACUGAUGAAGAUAUUAUGGCACAAGUGAAAGAUAUUGUGUCCUCUGUGUCAAAAUGUCUAUCAGCUUCUACAGCACCAAUUUUAAAAGGAAUAAAGCAAAAGCUAUUCAAGAUCUGCAAAGCAGUUCAAAAAAAGAGCAAGAACAAAAUAACACCUCGCCUGACUCAGAUGGUGAGCUGGUGCAUUCUUGUUCUUUCUAAAUCAAGUCAGCUGGUUCAAGUUGGAACAGGAGAAGGAAAGUCAUGCAUUGUGGCAAUGUUUGCAGCAUAUCAGGCCAUGGUGGGAAACACCCCUGAUAUCAUCUCCAGUUCUCCUGUGCUUGCUGAGAGAGACGUUGAAGAAUGGUUUGACUUUUAUAAGGAAUUAGAUAUAACCGUUAAUGUCAACACCAAUAAAACCAAAGACAAAGAGCUGAAGAAGUGCUAUGAAUGCCAGGUGGUCUAUGGUACAACGCAGAGUUUUGCAGGUGAUUUUCUGAGACAGCGCUUCCACAGAAAAGAUGUUAGACCUAAAAGAGAGUUUCAAUGUGUUAUAGUCGAUGAGGUGGACUCGCUUAUGCUGGACAAAGGUCUUGAAGUGGUUUACUUGAAUAGUAACAUACCUCUCAUGGAACCAUUGAAUCAAUUAUUGGCUGAAAUUUGGUUUGUCAUCAACCAGCUGAAGCGUUUAGACACUGGAGAGAUUUUAGGACCCAUUCAGCUCUUCUCUGAGGUUCUGUCUGAAAUCAUGCAUGAAAACAAAAGCAUUGAUCAUCUCACUAUGGUGCAGACAGCUUUGGAUGCAGGAAUUAUGCCUAUAAAGUCUUCAAAGCAAAACACAACAAAUGUUUUAAAACAACUAGAUAAUGCAAGUGUCGUGCAAAUGGUGGCAUUUUUAACCAUGUUUGUAGGGAAUUUCCCCGAGUAUUUCUUUAGAUUAUACCAGGACAGGCCUAAUGGGACUUUAAAGAGACUGAAUGAAAUCAGUGCUGCAGGUACAAACAAGAGACAAGAAAUAUCAGUUCUUCUUCUGGGAAAUGGAAAAUGUCGUGUUGUGCACUCUGAGGAGAACUCAGUAGUUGCAUCCAUGGGAAAAAGGAUUAAAAUGGUUUAUCAGUCUGAAUCAGUAAAUGUACAAAAUGAAUCUAAUAUUCCAGGGUUUCGAGACCUCAUUAAUGGCAAGGCACAAACUUGGAUUGAAAAUGCUCUGCAAGCCACCAAAAUGACUCUGGGUAAUGAAUACGUCCUUCAUGGAAAUGGAGUUGCUCCUGUUGAUUACAAAUGCACUGGUGUCGUCCAAAACAACAUGAAAUGGGGGGAAGGCCUUCAGCAGUUCCUGGAGAUGAAACACCAAACUAAACUGUCCAACAUGAGUCUAAUCACAAACUUCAUGUCUAAUGUGGGUUUAUUCAAUAAAUAUGCAAAUCAUGUCUAUGGGAUCACAGGAACUUUGGGUGACCAAACAGAGCUUGACAUGCUGAAGGAGCUCUACAAUGGCAUUGAGACAUGUAAGAUUCCCUCCUUUAGACGUAGGAAACUUUAUGAACUGGAAGGCAUGGUGAUACCUGAGGAAGAUGAGUGGAUCAGGAUGGUCUGUAAAGUUGUUCAGGAUCAAGUGUCCUCCACAGUCUAUCGAAGUCCACGAGCAGCUCUCGUCAUCUGUGAAACAAUCAAUCGGGCAGUAAAUUUUUAUAUGACCCUUGCAGACACCAUCUCAAAAGACAAACUAAAACUCUAUGUGAAUAACAACAUGGAUAACUCUACAAUAAUUGAUAACAUAGUCCAAGCGGGGGAUGUCAUCAUUGCAACUUAUCUAGCAGGUCGAGGGACAGACCUAAAGGUUUGUGAAAGUGUAAAUGAGGCAGGAGGUCUGUUUGUGAUGCAAACCUUCUUACCUCUGAACGUCCGUGUCGAACAGCAAGCAUUUGGACGAACUGCUCGCCAAGGGAGUCCAGGAUCCGCUCAACUCAUCAUGUGCGCCAGUCAUUUCUCUGGCUUAGUCAAACUUGUGAUGGGUGAAAACACAUCUCUCACCGACUUACUCAGCCAUCUGAAUAAUUUAAUACAGAAAUCACAUAGUCUUAAAGAGAUUCUAUUUGAGGAAACUGUUAAUUACUACCUGGAAAAUCACAGCUCUCAGACUCAUGACGCAAUGGUUUCUGCUCUGACAGACCUCCUAACAAUAAAUUCAUUCCCAUCACAGAAAAGCAAUCUGGAAGAGGUAAAAGAUGCCAGAAAUAUUCUGGUGAACAUCAGACUCUCUGGGUUUCUUGAAAAAGACAUUCCAGAAAUCAUGAAUAAGGAAGAGUUUUUUUCUGUUUACCUUGACGUUUUGGAUGGCAUUUAUGAAGAUGAUGUUUUCUCUGACCAGCGUGAUGUAAUGGUGUCCUCUCUUCAUGAGUGUUGGGGUGUGUGGCUCCUGAUGCAUUUCAGUGAGGAAAAACCUUUUGAGAUGUUGAAGAAACAGCUGAAGGUGGAUUUGUUGAGUGCAAAGCAGAAACUUUUUAAUAAGCAAUCCCCAUCCACCAUGGUCUACUAUUACAUCAGGUCUGGGAACAAUCUUCGUGAGAAGGGAUGCCUUGCAGAAAGCAUUGAAAUGUACACAAAAGCUCUGGAGGAUGACACAUCUGGGGAGAUUAUUCCUCUCUAUAAUCGUGCACUGGCCACUAUUAUGAAGAAAGACAUUGGUUAUAUCACUCAAGCACUGGCUGAUCUGGAAAAGGCUAACAAGGCAAUAGUUUCAUACAGGUCAAAUCUGGAAUGGAUUCUGACUUGCAUUAAAUUAUCAAGUCAUGAGCCAGAAACAGAAGGCGAUACUUUGCUCACAAAGCAGUUUCAAAUUAAGUUUAUGAUUGUAGAUCUACUCAAGAUGAACAUUCAAGAUGCUGUAACAAAGUUGAAGAGAGCUGAAAGCAUAGGAGGAAAUGUAAGCCUGACUGAAAAACAUCCACUUUUUCUGGUUGCACACAUUAUGUUCAGUUAUCCAAGACUUUUGGAUAAUCUUAUGAGGGAGCUUAUUCAUACCAUGUCAUUGGGUCUUGAUGAAGUUUUCUCUUUAGACACCAUGUUUUCUGCCAGUGGCCUUUUGUCAAAAUUAUUAAAACUUGUGAAAUAUAACACAUUUCUCAAAGAUCCUUAAACAUAUAAGGUCAGUUUUAUAUAAGCAUUAAACACAUAUACUGUAUUGUGCAUAUCUAAUGUAUAUGUCCUAAGUAUUAUUCCUAUCACAGAUACAUGAAUUCUUCCUGAUGAUACAUUUCAUACUUUACAAUUUUGAGAAGGACAUUUUAAGUUAACACUGCAAAUUAUGAAAGAAUUUGUAAAUGUUUACAUAUUGAAAAGUAAAUACUUUACUGUUUUUAGUGCUGAAUGUUGAAAGAUAUUUUGUUGUAUAUUUAUCCUUUAUUUUAUGUAAAUAACUUAUUUUGAUCAUCUGCUGCAUGCAUGCUCUACUGUACAUGUAAAUGCACAGUUUCAUAUUCUGCAUGUAAUGGACUUAUGUGAAAAACAAGGAAAUUUUAAAGGAAUAGUACUACAAUGUAAAUUCUGUCAUUAUUUAUUCUGUCAUCAAUAUCUGUCAUCAAGUCUCAUUGGAUAAAGGAAAUGUUGUCGGGGCAGUGUACCUAGACCUAAAGAAGGCCUUUGACACUGUUAAUCGAAGUAUUUUAUUAAAUAAAUUAAAUCAGUAUAAAAUGACAUCAGAAGCUUUACAGUGGUUUGGGUCUUAUUUGGGCGGGAGACAGCAAUGUGUUAAGGUUAAUGGGGUGAAAUCACUUGUAUGUGCUAACAACAUGGGAGUACCGCAAGGGUCUCUACUUGGCCAAUUGUUGUUUACAAUGUACAUAAAUGACCUACCAAAUUGCUGUCCAAGGUGUCAACUGCCAGUUGUAUGCGGAUGACUCCGUCGUCAUCCAUGUGUCUACUAAAACACACAGGCAUUACAGAAUAUUUCUAGAUGGCUUGAGUUGUCUCAUUUAACUCUUAAUGUUAAGAAAACAGUUUCCACAUGCUUCUCCAUACGAAAUAGGCCUGCAAGGGAUGUAUUUGAGGUGAGGAUCAAGAAUGAAGUAAUUGAAGUAGUAAAUGAAGUCAAGUAUCUUGCCAUCAUUCUUGAUAAGAAUUUAAAAUGUAAUAGUCAGGUUAAGAAUAUUUGUAAGAAGGUCAAACCGAAUCUAAGUUGUUUUUGUAUUAUUAGAAGGGAUCUGUCAUGUCAAACUGCAAAGCUAUACAUGCGUCCAAUGAUAUUUUCACAUUUAUCAUAUUGCAUUAUAUCACGGUCACAAGCCUCUUCAACUACAUUGAAGCCUAUUGUUUCAAUGUACAAACAGGCAAUAAAAGUUAUGGACCAGAAACCUAUGUGAUGGCAUCAUUGUGAUGUUCUACGAAAGCAUAACCUUCUUAGUUUUGAUAGCUUCAUUGAUUUGAAUUAAAUUGAUUUUUAAGUCUUUGAAGAAUCAUGCAUCACUGCUGUUUUCCGAAUGAAAUAGUAGGCACUAGACCUCUCAUAGGGUAAAUACACAAGCCACUACUAGUGGUGGCUAUUGUUCCAAAGUAAAGACCUCUUUUGGUAAGUCUGUUUUCUGUGAACCGGCCAAAUCUUUGGAAUGAAAAUUAGAAAACAAUGGUAAUGUUUUUAAUAGAGGACUUAAACAAUUGUUAAAAAUAAAUCAGCAGUGUUUACAUAAAUAGUCUAUUACCAGAUUAUUGUUUGAUCAUGUUGUCUUUGCUUCAUAGCUUAUGCAUGUAAAUAAUUCUUUUUUUUUUAUUUUUUUUUUUUUAUUGUUAGUACUUUUAUUAUUAUUUUUCGUUUUUUUGUUUUGUUUUGUUUUUUAACAACAAGUCUCCCUUGGACAGGUGCAAGUUGUGAUGUCCAUGUCAAAUGUAAAAAGUGGUAAUAAUAGUAAUUUACUCGGUCUAAUCCCAUUUCACACCUGUAUUACUUCCUUUAUUCUGCUGAUCACAAAAUAAGAUAUUUUAUACUUUAACACGAUGAUGGGUAAAUGUAGUAUUUUAAUAUUUUGGAUGAACUGUUCCUUUGAGAAGAUCAAUAGUCAUAUUUAUUUUUGUUAAUAGACUGAUGAAACUUAACAAACAUGGUAACAUGGAUGAGUAUUUAUUAGCAUGGUCAAUAAAAAAAAAAAAAGAUGUUUCGUGCUUUCAAGAAUUUGAUCAUAACAUUAAAUUUCAAUUUAGUCAAAAAAAAAUUGUAUGAUUGGUACAAGAGUGUACAACUAAUUAAAAAUGAUUUAAA
ensembl:lncRNA